rnacentral:rRNA from 1 species
UACGUAGGGUGCAAGCGUUGUCCGGAAUUAUUGGGCGUAAAGAGCUCGUAGGCGGUUCGUCGCGUCGGCUGUGAAAUCCCGGAGCUCAACUCCGGGUCUGCAGUCGAUACGGGCGGACUUGAGUACUGCAGGGGAGACUGGAAUUCCUGGUGUAGCGGUGAAAUGCGCAGAUAUCAGGAGGAACACCAAUUGCGAAGGCAGCUCGCUGGGACGUUACUGACGCUGAGACGCGAAAGCGUGGGGAGCAAACAGG